rnacentral:rRNA from 1 species
GAUCCUGGCUCAGGAUGAACGCUAGCGACAGGCCUAACACAUGCAAGUCGAGGGGCAGCGAAGAGGUAGCAAUACCUUUGCCGGCGACCGGCGCACGGGUGAGUAACACGUAUGCAAUCCACCUGUAACAGGGGGGAUAACCCGGAGAAAUCCGGACUAAUACCCCCAUAAUAUGGGCGCCCCGCAUGGAGAGCCCAUUAAAGAGAGCAAUUUUGGUUACAGACGAGCAUGCGCUCCAUUAG